rnacentral:rRNA from 1 species
GAUGAACGCUGGCGGCGUGCCUAAUACAUGCAAGUCGAGCGAACGGACGAGAAGCUUGCUCCUCUGAUGUUAGCGGCGGACGGGUGAGUAACACGUGGAUAACCUACCUAUAAGACUGGGAUAACUUCGGGAAACCGUAGCUAAUACCGGAUAAUAUUUUGAACCGCAUGGUUCAAAAGUGAAAGACGGUCUUGCUGUCACUUAUAGAUGGAUCCGCGCUGCAUUAGCUAGUUGGUAAGGUAACGGCUUACCAAGGCAACGAUGCAUAGCCGACCUGAGAGGGUGAUCGGCCACACUGGAACUGAGACACGGUCCAGACUCCUACGGGAAGCAGCAGUAGGGAAUCUUCCGCAAAGGGCGAAAGCCUGACGGAGCAACGCCGCGUGAGUGAUGAAGGUCUUCGGAUCGUAAAACUCUGUUAUUAGGGAAGAACAUAUGUGUAAGUAACUGUGCACAUCUUGACGGUACCUAAUCAGAAAGCCACGGCUAACUACGUG